AAAAGUUCUAGGUAAGUGUUGGAUACAAAACACUUUAUGCUAAGAUCAAGUGCAGUCUCUGUCCUUAUCAGCUUAGUAUCUGGUACCUCCUCUGUCUUAGGAUAGUACAUGAAAUGGCUUUUUGGAGCCGGGAGAUAGAACAAGAGCUUGCUCCAGGCACUCCAUGAAUAGCCCUGGCAGGGCCGGGGAUUUAGUUCAGUGGUU
ensembl:snRNA U2 U2 spliceosomal RNA